rnacentral:lncRNA from 1 species
UCGUUAGAAGUUCAACCAAAUAAUUCACGAAAGAAUGUAUGCAUCAACAGUUGUAAACAAUGAUAGCGCAGGCAUACUGCAGGCAUAUGUGAGCUAGGGUUUAGGCGUCAGCCAAUUACAGCGUCUCCUCAUGCAAGUUCAACAUUGUUCACACAAGCGAUUAAUGACCAAAAUAAUGAGGAUUAUUUCGUCUGAAAUCUGUUUGAAAUGCAAUCUUUUCCUUGAUAACGUCCAUAUUAGCCAAGGUAUUGUACUUCAUCAGUUUAUGAAGUCGGUCAAACUGUUUCUCCUCGUAUUCGAAAUUGAAGGAUGAAUAGGGCUUUUCAGGGUCAUCAAAGAUUGCAAAGUUUCCAAAUUCUUUAUCCUCUUCUGUCACGCGCGGUACCCCUGAAAUACGAAAUACAUACACCAUGUCACAGGCCUGCAAAUAAUUAUUUUACUUGGAAGGACAAAUGUUUGGCCAAGCCAAAAAUUGGUCGGACAUUUAUCAAUAUUUCCCAG